UCAGUAGGGUGGAUGUAGGGACUUUUGCCCAGUCAUGCUCUGGGCUGUGAAGAAGAGUGAUCUUCAACUUGAAAGUGGUUUCUCUCUACUCCAGGCCUGAAGUUUCUUCAUUUGUCCUUCCCUAGAGUUAAAUAACUUCUUGGUCUCUAGCCCGCACAUGCAGCUGAUGUAGAGAUUAAAUUAGCAGAGCCAGGGGAGCUAUUUGACCGAUUGCCUGAUUGACUCACCAAAGAAAUCUCCACAAGAAGUUUGUUUCUCUGAGCAUUGCUUGGGCCUUGCCCAUCCUGCCAUAGUGGAGUUCCCUGCUUUGACGGCUCUACGUGGGGACCCAGUGGACUUCUCUGGUGCUAAUGAGCAAUGGAGCAACCAAAAGGUAAGGAGUCAGUGGGCGACUGAGAGGCAAAGAGCCUGGAUAAUUCACAGACUGAAAAAUUAGCCCAGAAUAUUCACUGCGUUUCAUCUGCUUUGUGGAGCUUUCCAUGCCGAAAGGCCAUGGUCUGGGUGUCUCCUGGAAACUAGACAGCUUCGCUUGUCAAAAGGUUGAAGUUUGGACCUGUCAUGUUUGACAUUUACCUUUAAAACCAUUGAGUCUGAAAAACCUUCAGAAAUGGCUGAAAAACAGAAGACUAAAUACAGCGACAGUCAAUGUUCAUCCUUCAGUACUUUUAGAAUCUCUGUUGAUUUUUAUUUGAAAAAAAAACUGUGUGAAGAUUUAAAAGAGUCCUCUCCUAUGGCUGAUGACCUUCUCUAUCUCCAAAACCUACUGUCACACCUUCCUAAAGUCCCUCAAUUGGCUGAGAAUAUGUCUCAUUCCAAUCCUAAAUGGCAAAUGGUAUUGUGAGGCAUCUCAUGUGGUAAAGACUAGAUACUAGUCUAUAGGCAC